rnacentral:lncRNA from 1 species
GAAAUGACAUCCCUACAUUACAAAGAAUAAAAGCUUGAUUGUCAUCUCUGUUCUCCAUAAAGGUUUGGAAGGUUAUGAGAACCAUCCUUAAGUAUUUAUGAAAUACUAAGGACCAAUGACUCGUUUAUGAAAAAUCUGACUUAAAACCUAUGAAAUAUUGAUUCCAGUUUCUAGUCGGAUCGGAAUGAUAAAGUUGUGUCAGAUUAUAUUUUUAUCCUAAAAAGAGGAGCGACAUGUUGGAAAAGUUCCAUAUAGUAUUCAGUAGCCAAUUUUAUUUACGAUACGGAGUUCUUUAUGGUAUUUGAUACUGAUAAAAAAGUUGUUUGGUUAUGGAAGUUCAUUAGUUAGCUUGGAGAGGCACCCUCCAUUGAUGGUCCAAUCCUUCUGUUUGACAGUAGUACUGGAGCCAUAGCUCAAAC